rnacentral:rRNA from 1 species
UUUGAAGUGUGGACGCCAGUCUGCAUGGAGCCGGCCUUGAAAUACCACCCUUUAAUGUUUGAUGUUCUAACGUGGACCCGUGAUCCGGGUUGCGGACAGUGUCUGGUGGGUAGUUUGACUGGGGCGGUCUCCUCCUAAAGAGUAACGGAGGAGCACGAAGGUUGGCUAAUCCUGGUCGGACAUCAGGAGGUUAGUGCAAUGGCAUAAGCCAGCUUGACUGCGAGCGUGACGGCGCGAGCAGGUGCGAAAGCAGGUCAUAGUGAUCCGGUGGUUCUGAAUGGAAGGGCCAUCGCUCAACGGAUAAAAGGUACUCCGGGGAUAACAGGCUGAUACCGCCCAAGAGUUCAUAUCGACGGCGGUGUUUGGCACCUCGAUGUCGGCUCAUCACAUCCUGGGGCUGAAGUAGGUCCCAAGGGUAUGGCUGUUCGCCAUUUAAAGUGGUACGCGAGCUGGGUUUAGAACGUCGUGAGACAGUUCGGUCCCUAUCUGCCGUGGGCGCUGGAGAACUGAGGGGGGCUGCUCCUAGUACGAGAGGACCGGAGUGGACGCAUCACUGGUGUUCGGGUUGUCAUGCCAAUGGCACUGCCCGGUAGCUAAAUGCGGAAGAGAUAAGUGCUGAAAGCAUCUAAGCACGAAACUUGCCCCGAGAUGAGUUCUCCCUGAGACUUA